rnacentral:misc_RNA from 1 species
GAUGAAGAACGCAGCGAAAUGCGAUAAGUAAUGUGAAUUGCAGAAUUCAGUGAAUCAUCGAAUCUUUGAACGCACCUUGCGCUCUUUGGUAUUCCGAAGAGCAUGCCUGUUUGAGUGUCAUGAAAAUAUCAACCUUGACUUGGGUUUUGCGCUCUAGUCUCGGCUUGGAAUUGGGUGCUUGCCGCUUUUACGAGCGGCUCACCUUAAAUGUAUUAGCUGGAUCUGUCUUUGAGACUUGGUUUGACUUGGCGUAAUAAGUAUUUCGCUAAGGACAUUCUUCGGAGUGGCCUCGUUUCUAGGACGCUUGUCCGCUUUCCAAUACAAGUUCCACCUCGUGGACAUGACUUUUUAUUAUCUGGCCUCAAAUCAGGUAGGACUACCCGCUGAACUUAAGCAUAUCAAUAAGCGGAGGA